GGUGGCUGUAUGAUCUUAAGUAAGCCCAUUUUGCUUCAAUUUUCUUAUCUAGAAAAUGGGGAUAAUAACACCCAUGUUAUAGAGUUAUUCUGAUGAUUUCUAAGAGUCUCAGAGACCUAGGAUCCACAAAAUCAAAACAACAAAACCAAGCCUUUGUGCACAUCUGUGGUUGUGACCAGUUGGAGAGACAUUAGGAGAUGAGAUACUAUGUUCACUCCUCACAGCUGUACCAGGGACCUGAGAUAUUCCGUCACUAUUCUAUGAAUGGUCUGGCUUGAUGAUAUCCAACCUGACGUGGCCUGAAGAGACAGACAGUGGCUCUUGCUAGCUAAUUAUUGUCAGAUGGAUCGGCAGCCGACCAACGCUUCUGAAACUAUUGUUUUUGGCAAAUGUUCCUCAACAUUUUCCUGGGAGCUAUGGUGCAUUACUCACGAGUGACAGAACCAACGAGCUUCAUCUCCCAAGAGGCUGGUGCAUCUGUUUAAAGGAGCAGGCACUAGGCAGAGCAGCCCCCACCCCACCCUCCAUGGCAGAGUGCAGUGGGGGAAGAAGUUUUCAUAGAAAUGCUUUCUAUAAAGCAUUUUCAUAGAGAAAGCAGGUUCAUAUAGAAAGCACUGGCUGCUGGUUGGAGUGGAGAGAUUGAAGACCCUCAUCUAGGAUCAAGCAACCCCCAGAAAACAAUUUUAAACAUGUCCAUUCAGACAAAAGGAGUCCAAAACCAUAAGAUCCUCUCAGCAUCCUGAACUAAUGUCCAGCUGUUAUCUCGGGAUGGGAUUUCACCAUGUUGUCCAAGCUGGUUUUGAACUCCUGGGGUCAAGAAAUCCACCUGCUUCGGCCUCCCACAGUGCUGGGAUUACAGAUUGUGCUUUUGGUGUUACAUCUAAGAAAUCUUUGCUUUUGAUUAUUUUAAAAAUUGAUUUUCUCAUCAAGUAAAAGAAAAUGUACUUUCA
rnacentral:lncRNA from 1 species